rnacentral:rRNA from 1 species
CCAAAAAUCCGCCCAGGGUUAGCCGGAACCUAAGACGAGGCCCAAGGGCGUAGUCGAUGGCCAGCAGGUUAAUAUUCCUGCGCCGCUGACAGAUACUGAAGUGGGGACGUGCUGUGGAAAGCAAGCGGGCGACUAGAAGUGCCCGUGCCGCAAGGCCGAGAGCGUUUACGAUCUCGAAGUUGUUGGAAGCAGGACCAAGAAAAGCCACGUAGGGUUCAAGCUGUCGCGACCGUACUAAAACAGACACAAGUAGGCGAGGUGAAUAUCCUAAGGCGCUCGAGAGAAUUGACAUUAAGGAACUAGGCAAAUUGACCCCGUAACUUCGGGAUAAGGGGUACCGUGGUAGGGUUUAUAGCCCGAGGCGGUGACACUAAAAUGGCUCUAGCGACUGUUUACUAAAAACACAGCACGGUGCAAACACGCAAGUGGACGUAUACCGUGUGACGCGUGCUCGGUGUCGGUAGGUUAAGGGGAAGGGUUAGCCGCAAGGCGAAGCUCAUAUCCGAAGCCCCGAUAAACGGCGGCCGUAACUAUGACGGUCCUAAGGUAGCGAAGUUCCUUGUCGGGUAAGUUCCGACCUGCAUGAAUCGCGUAACGACUGGAGCACUGUCUCAAUGUCAAACUCGGUGAAACUGCAGUCGACGUGAAGAUACGUCGUUCCCGCAACAAGACGGAAAGACCCCAUGAACCUUUACUGUAGGUUAGUAUUGUGCUUAGGCACAGCCUGUGUAGCAUAGGUGGGAGGCGAUGAAGCGGUGGCGCAAGCCAUCGUGGAGCCGCAACAUGAAAUACCACUCUGGCUGUUUCUGAGUCCUAACCUGGCCCCGUGAAUCCGGGCCGGGGACAGUGCUAAUUGGGCAGUUUGACUGGGGCGGUCUCCUCCCAAAGAGUAACGGAGGAGUUCAAAGGUACCCUCAGCCCGGUUGGCAAUCGGGCAUUGAGCAUAAGGGUAGAAGGGUGCUUGACUGCGAGUCUGAUAAGACGAGCAGAUGCGAAAGCAGGACCUAGUGAUCCGGCGGUUCCGAAUGGAAGGGCCGUCGCUCAUCAGAUAAAAGGUACUCUGGGGAUAACAGGCUUAUCGCCCCCGAGCGUCCAUAGCGGCGGGGCGGUUUGGCACCUCGAUGUCGGCUCAUCGCAUCCUGGGGCUGGAGAAGGUCCCAAGGGUUUGGCUGUUCGCCAAUGAAAGCGUUACGUGAGCUGGGUUUAGACCGUCGUGAGACAGGUCGGUCCCCAUCUGUUGUGGGCGUAAGAAACUUGAA